rnacentral:rRNA from 1 species
GAUGAACGCUGGCGGCGUGCUUAACACAUGCAAGUCGAACGAUGAAGCCCAGCUUGCUGGGUGGAUUAGUGGCGAACGGGUGAGUAACACGUGAGUAACCUGCCCUUAACUCUGGGAUAAGCCUGGGAAACUGGGUCUAAUACCGGAUAGGAGCGUCCACCGCAUGGUGGGUGUUGGAAAGAUUUAUCGGUUUUGGAUGGACUCACGGCCUAUCAGCUUGUUGGUGAGGUAAUGGCUCACCAAGGCGACGACGGGUAGCCGGCCUGAGAGGGUGACCGGCCACACUGGGACUGAGACACGGCCCAGACUCCUACGGGAGGCAGCAGUGGGGAAUAUUGCACAAUGGGCGCAAGCCUGAUGCAGCGACGCCGCGUGAGGGAUGUCGGCCUUCGGGUUGUAAACCUCUUUCAGUAGGGAAGAAGCGAAAGUGACGGUACCUGCAGAAGAAGCACCGGCUAACUACGUG